rnacentral:rRNA from 1 species
GAUGAACGCUGGCGGCGUGCCUAACACAUGCCAGUCGAGCGGAGUAUGGAGGAAGUGCUUGCACGGAGACCAUACUUAGCGGCGGACGGGUGAGUAACACGUGAGCAACUUGCCUUCUCUGGGGGAUAACACCGGGAAACUGGUGCUAAUACCGCAUAACGUCCCGACACCGCAUGGUGAUGGGACCAAAGGAGCAAUCCGGGAGAAGAUGGGCUCGCGGCCGAUUAGAUAGUUGCGGGGUAACGGCCCACCAAGUCGACGAUCGGUAGCCGGACUGAGAGGUCGAACGGCCACAUUGGGACUGAGACACGGCCCAGACUCCUACGGGAGGCAGCAGUGGGGAAUAUUGGGCAAUGGGCGAAAGCCUGACCCAGCAACGCCGCGUGAAGGAAGAAGGCCUUCGGGUUGUAAACUUCUUUGAUCGGGGACGAACGAAAUGACGGUACCCGAGGAACAAGCCACGGCUAACUACGUG